rnacentral:rRNA from 1 species
CAGCCGCCGCGGGAAUACGAAGGGGGCUAGCGUUGUUCGGAAUUACUGGGCGUAAAGCGCACGUAGGCGGAUACUUAAGUUAGGGGUGAAAUCCCAGGGCUCAACCCUGGAACUGCCUUUAAUACUGGGUAUCUAGAGUAUGGUAGAGGUGAGUGGAAUUCCGAGUGUAGAGGUGAAAUCCGUAGAUAUUCGGAAGAACACCAGUGGCGAAGGCGACUGACUGGACAAGUAUUGACGCUGAGGUGCGAAAGCGUGGGGAGCAAACAGGAUUAGAGACCCCCGUAGUCCCUGUCUCUUAUAA